rnacentral:rRNA from 1 species
AUUGAACGCUGGCGGCAGGCUUAACACAUGCAAGUCGAGCGGGGUGAUGGUGCUUGCACUAUCACUUAGCGGCGGACGGGUGAGUAAUGCUUAGGAAUCUGCCUAUUAGUGGGGGACAACAUCUCGAAAGGGAUGCUAAUACCGCAUACGUCCUACGGGAGAAAGCAGGGGAUCACUUGUGACCUUGCGCUAAUAGAUGAGCCUAAGUCGGAUUAGCUAGUUGGUGGGGUAAAGGCCUACCAAGGCGACGAUCUGUAGCGGGUCAGAGAGGAUGAUCCGCCACACUGGGACUGAGACACGGCCCAGACUCCUACGGGCGGCAGCAGUGGGGAAUAUUGGACAAUGGGGGGAACCCUGAUCCAGCCAUGCCGCGUGUGUGAAGAAGGCCUUAUGGUUGUAAAGCACUUUAAGCGAGGAGGAGGCUCUUUUGGUUAAUACCCAAGAUGAGUGGACGUUACUCGCAGAAUAAGCACCGGCUAACUCUGUGCCAGCAGCCGCAGUAA